GGUGCUGUGGCGCAGUGGGUUAACGCCCUGGCCUGAAGUGCCAGUAUCGCAUAUGGGUGCCAGUUCUA
rnacentral:tRNA from 1 species